UACGUAGGGCGCAAGCGUUGUCCGGAAUUAUUGGGCGUAAAGAGCUCGUAGGCGGCUUGUCACGUCGGGUGUGAAAGACCGGGGCUUAACCCCGGUUCUGCAUUCGAUACGGGCUAGCUAGAGUGUGGUAGGGGAGAUCGGAAUUCCUGGUGUAGCGGUGAAAUGCGCAGAUAUCAGGAGGAACACCGGUGGCGAAGGCGGAUCUCUGGGCCAUUACUGACGCUGAGGAGCGAAAGCGUGGGAAGCGAACAGG
rnacentral:rRNA from 1 species